rnacentral:ncRNA from 1 species
GACCUACUUACCGAACAGUCACCGGACGGUGGCAUGCCUGGGACAUCCAGGAUUAGGGAGUAGGUCGUUU